rnacentral:rRNA from 1 species
AUUAAACGCUGGCGGCAUGCCUUACACAUGCAAGUCGAACGGCAGCACGGGGGCAACCCUGGUGGCGAGUGGCGGACGGGUGAGUAAAGCAUCGGAACGUAUCCUGGAGUGGGGGAUAACGUAGCGAAAGUUACGCUAAUACCGCAUAUUCUGUGAGCAGGAAAGCAGGGGAUCGCAAGACCUUGCGCUCUGGGAGCGGCCGAUGUCGGAUUAGCUAGUUGGUGGGGUAAAGGCCUAACCAAGGCGACGAUCCGUGGCGGGGUCUGAGAGGAUGAUCCGCCACACUGGGACUGAGACACGGCCCAGACUCCUACGGGAGGCAGCAGUGGGGAAUUUUGGACAAUGGCGGAAGCUGAUCC